AGUGAACGCUGGCGGUAGGCCUAACACAUGCAAGUCGAACGGCAGCACAGGAGAGCUUGCUCUCUAGGUGACGAGUGGCGGACGGGUGAGGAAUACAUCGGAAUCUGCCCAGUCGUGGGGGAUAACGAAGGGAAACUUACGCUAAUACCGCAUACGACCGUCGGAUGAAAGAGGGGGAUCGCAAGACCUCUCGCGAUUGGAUGAGCCGAUGUCGGAUUAGCUAGUAAGCGGGGUAAUGGCUCACCAAGGCGACGAUCCGUAGCUGGUCUGAGAGGAUGAUCAGCCACACUGGAACUGAGACACGGUCCAGACUCCUACGGGAGGCAGCAGUGGGGAAUAUUGCACAAUGGGCGCAAGCCUGAUCCAGCCAUACCGCGUGGGUGAAGAAGGCCUUCGGGUUGUAAAGUCCUUUUGUUGGGGAAGAAAUCUUUCAGGCUAAUACCCUGGCAGGACGACGGUACCCAAAGAAUAAGCACCGGCUAACUUCGUG
rnacentral:rRNA from 1 species